rnacentral:tRNA from 1 species
UAUUUAGGAAAUUAUGGUUUCCUAAACCGCAGGUCGGAGGUUCAAGUCCUCUCGGGGCCGCCA